GUUAUGGCUCAGAUUGAACGCUGGCGGAAUGCUUUACACAUGCAAGUCGAACGGCAGCAUAGAGAGCUUGCUCUCUGAUGGCGAGUGGCGAACGGGUGAGUAAUAUAUCGGAACGUGCCUAGUAAUGGGGAAUAACUAGCUGAAAGGUUAGCUAAUGCCGCAUACGACCUACGGGUGAAAGCAGGGGAUCUUCGGACCUUGCGUUAUUAGAGCGGCCGAUAUCUGAUUAGCUUGUUGGUGGGGUAAUGGCCUACCAAGGCGACGAUCAGUAGCUGGUCUGAGAGGACGAUCAGCCACACUGGAACUGAGACACGGUCCAGACUCCUACGGGAGGCAGCAGUGGGGAAUUUUGGACAAUGGGGGCAACCCUGAUCCAGCCAUUCCGCGUGAGUGAAGAAGGCCUUCGGGUUGUAAAGCUCUUUCGCAAGAGAAGAAAACUUGCUAUCUAAUAAAUAGUAAGUAUGACG
rnacentral:rRNA from 1 species